rnacentral:misc_RNA from 1 species
GUCCAGACUCUCUUCAUCAUGGUUAUUCUUAGCGGGUGCUCUCUCAGAAUCGUCCAUAAUGGAUGUUGUUGUACAAAGGUUUUAAAACAAAUAAUUAUACCACUACGAAAUAUUAUCGAACUAAUUUUAAUUGGCAAAAUAAUUUAAGAAACUGAAUUUGAAAAGAUUACAAAGAAACAAUCUGAUUUGGAGCUGAUGGGUUUGCGAGUACAUGUCACACGUCCGCUGUCAAUCCAAAAAGUGACCAGCGACCGAACUGACACCUGACUGACAACUCCAUCCGGUGUUU